rnacentral:rRNA from 1 species
AGACUGAACGCUGGCGGCAUGCCUAACACAUGCAAGUCGAACGGCAGCAUGUCCCCGCAAGGGGAUGAUGGCGAGUGGCGGACGGGUGAGGAAUACAUCGGAAUCUACCCCGUUGUGGGGGAUAACCCAUCGAAAGGUGGGCUAAUACCGCAUAAGACGGAGACGUGAAAGCGGGGGACCUUCGGGCCUCGCGCGAUGGGAUGAGCCGAUGUCGGAUUAGCUAGUUGGCGGGUAAGAGCCCACCAAGGCGACGAUCCGUAGCUGGUUUGAGAGGAUGAUCAGCCACACUGGGACUGAGACACGGCCCAGACUCCUACGGGAGGCAGCAGUGGGGAAUAUUGGACAAGUGGGCGCAAGCCUGAUCCAGCAAUGCCGCGUGUGUGAAGAAGGCCGUUCGGUUGUAAAGCUAACUUUUAGUCGGAGCGAAAAGGCGAACGGGGAAUAGCCGGCGUCGAUGACGUACCGAGGAA